rnacentral:tRNA from 1 species
UGUAAUCUGGCAGAUGAAUGCGUUAGAGUUAGGUUCUUUUUAUGGAUACGUGGUGUCCGAUUAUAU